CAAUAGCGUAUAUUAAAGUUGUUGCGGUUAAAAAGCUCGUAGUUGGAUUUCUGCCGAGGACGACCGGUCCGCCCUCUGGGUGAGUAUCUGGUUCGGCCUGGGCAUCUUCUUGGAGAACGUAGCUGCACUUGACUGUGUGGUGCGGUAUCCAGGACUUUUACUUUGAGGAAAUCAGAGUGUUUCAAGCAGGCAUACGCCUUGAAUACAUUAGCAUGGAAUAAUAAGAUAGGACCUCGGUUCUAUUUUGUUGGUUUCUAGAGCUGAGGUAAUGAUUAAUAGGGAUAGUUGGGGGCAUUCGUAUUUAACUGUCAGAGGUGAAAUUCUUGGAUUCGUUAAAGACGGACUACUGCGAAAGCAUUUGCCAAGGAUGUUUUCAUUG
rnacentral:rRNA from 1 species